rnacentral:rRNA from 1 species
AACGAACGCUGGCGGCAUGCCUAACACAUGCAAGUCGAGCGAGACCUUCGGGUCUAGUGGCGCACGGGUGCGUAACGCGUGGGAACCUGCCCUUAGGUUUGGAAUAACUCCCCGAAAGGGGUGCUAAUACCGGAUAAUGUCUUCGGACCAAAGAUUUAUCGCCUUUGGAUGGGCCCGCGUUGGAUUAGCUAGUUGGUAGGGUAAAAGCCUACCAAGGCGACGAUCCAUAGCUGGUCUGAGAGGAUGAUCAGCCACACUGGGACUGAGACACGGCCCAGACUCCUACGGGAGGCAGCAGUGGGGAAUAUUGGACAAUGGGCGAAAGCCUGAUCCAGCAAUGCCGCGUGAGUGAUGAAGGCCUUAGGGUUGUAAAGCUCUUUUACCCGGGAUGAUAAUGACAGUACCGGGAGAAUAAGCUCCGGCUAACUCCGU